rnacentral:rRNA from 1 species
UACGAAGGGGGCUAGCGUUGUUCGGAAUCACUGGGCGUAAAGCGCGCGUAGGCGGAUUGUUAAGUCGGGGGUGAAAUCCCGAGGCUCAACCCCGAGCCUGCUUCCGAUACGGGCAGACUAGAGGUAUGCAGGGGAGAAUGGAAUUCCUGGUGUAGCGGUGAAAUGCGCAGAUAUCAGGAGGAACACCGGUGCGAAGGCGGUUCUCUGGGCAUACUGACGCU